rnacentral:lncRNA from 1 species
CCAGUGGGCUAUGACUACGAGCACCGACAGAUCGACUGCAGCGCCAUUGUGGUGAGUUAGGGGAGUCUGUAUACGCGCUAUACUUCGCACCGACAGACCCAAAAAUAAGCCCGACUAAGUUAGGGGCACUUACGCCGUUCGCUUCCGGACAUUCCUCCUUAAUGCGAAACUAUGGGAUGAGGGCCCCUAAAGCUAAGUCAGGUAAAACAAAAAAGUAAAGUACGCCCACUGUCAGCAGCCUUACAGUGUGCUUCAUAAAUACAUCAACCCCUGAGAUAACAUUAUCGUUGGAAAUUGUGUUUUUGUUGUGGUUCUGUUCUCCACUUUUGUUAUCCACAUGCAAUUUUCACACUACUUCAUUACCUUUGUGGUGUGAUAAUUUAUCAUCCUGGAAAAAGGAUUCUGGAAAUUGAUGAUUUAUAAUAUACAGCUGAUAACGAGAUAUAAUGUAUUUACAUUCCAGAAUGAACUUCCAGUUUGGAGUUGUGAGUGUUUUAUCAGAUUAUGGAUUCCUACUUUGAAAACCAACUAUUUUCUUCUACAAAUGGAUUUUGAAGUAUCAUGUGCAUGUGGUAUUAUGUACUCUAUGAUGGAAGUACUAUCGUGUGCUGCAUAAUGUUAUUACUUUAUGGAAUCAGUUCAUUCAAUUUUAACCUAUUUUUGUAUUCAAAUAUAGAUGUUUGUGAAGCCUUUGAUUGACAUUAUAUAUUAAAAAAUACUCAUGGAAGGAGGUUCUUGCAGGAUCUGUUAUUGGCCGUCUAUGUUAUGCAGUAAAUUGGAUCUGCAGUUCAGUUAGAAACUUUAACUUAAAAAUAUGCUCAGCAUAGAAUUUAUAUGAAAAAUGAUAUUUGAUUGGAAAAGUUCCUGGUUGAGAAAAGAGAUUU